rnacentral:rRNA from 1 species
CCUACGGGUGGCAGCAGUGAGGAAUAUUGGUCAAUGGACGAGAGUCUGAACCAGCCAAGUAGCGUGAAGGAUGACUGCCCUAUGUGUUGUAAACUUCUUUUAUAUGGGAAUAAAACGUUCCACGUGUGGGAUUUUGUAUGUACCAUAUGAAUAAGGAUCGGCUAACUCCGUGCCAGCAGCCGCGGUAAUACGGAGGAUCCGAGCGUUAUCCGGAUUUAUUGGGUUGAAAGGGAGCGUAGGUGGAUUGUUAAGUCAGUUGUGAAAGUUUGCGGCUCAACCGUAAAAUUGCAGUUGAAACUGGCAGUCUUGAGUACAGUAGAGGUGGGCGGAAUUCGUGGUGUAGCGGUGAAAUGCUUAGAUAUCACGAAGAACUCCGAUUGCGAAGGCAGUUCACUGGACUGCAACUGACACUGAGGCUCGAAAGUGUGGGUAUCAAACAGGAUUAGAUACCCCAGUAGUC